AUCCUGGCUUAGGAUGAACGCUGGCGGCGUGCUUAAUACAUGCAAGUCGAACGAAGCACCUGCGACGGAUCCCUUCGGGGUGAAGAUGCUUGUGACUGAGUGGCGGACGGGUGAGUAACGCGUGGGUAACCUGCCUUAUGCAGGGGGACAACAGUUGGAAACGACUGCUAAUACCGCAUAAGCGCACGGCACCGCAUGGUGCAGUGUGAAAAGAUUUAUCGGCAUAAGAUGGACCCGCGUCUGAUUAGGUAGUUGGUGAGGUAACGGCCCACCAAGCCGACGAUCAGUAGCCGACUUGAGAGAGUGAUCGGCCACAUUGGGACUGAGACACGGCCCAGACUCCUACGGGAGGCAGCAGUAGGGAAUAUUGCACAAUGGGGGAAACCCUGAUGCAAGCGACGCCGCGUGAGUGAUGAAGUAUUUCGGUACGUAAAGCUCUAUCAGCAGGGAAGAUAAUGACGGUACCUGACUAAGAAGCCCCGGCUAACUACGUGCCAGCAGCCGC
rnacentral:rRNA from 1 species